rnacentral:rRNA from 1 species
UACGGAGGGGGCUAGCGUUGUUCGGAAUUACUGGGCGUAAAGCGCACGUAGGCGGCUUUGUAAGUUAGAGGUGAAAGCCCGGGGCUCAACUCCGGAAUUGCCUUUAAGACUGCAUCGCUAGAAUUGUGGAGAGGUAAGUGGAAUUCCGAGUGUAGAGGUGAAAUUCGUAGAUAUUCGGAAGAACACCAGUGGCGAAGGCGACUUACUGGACACAUAUUGACGCUGAGGUGCGAAAGCGUGGGGAGCAAACAGGAUUAGAAACCCCCGUAGUCC